rnacentral:misc_RNA from 1 species
AAGUCGUAACAAGGUCUCCGUAGGUGAACCUGCGGAGGGAUCAUUACUGAGUGAGGGCCUUCGGGCUCGACCUCCAACCCUUUGUGAACACAACUUGUUGCUUCGGGGGCGACCCUGCCGUUUCGACGGCGAGCGCCCCCGGAGGCCUUCAAACACUGCAUCUUUGCGUCGGAGUUUAAGUAAAUUAAACAAAACUUUCAACAACGGAUCUCUUGGCUCUC